UGAAUAGGACUGAGGCUGUUCAAAAAGAAGUGAGUAAAGAAGCAGAAAUAAAACUCAGAAGCUGUGUCUGCCACAAUAUCCAGAGGAGAGACUCAGCACAGACGGUUUACUUCAUAUUACCUUGAUAGUUACAAAAUUUGACUUGGGAAUUUAAAGAGGAGAGAGAAGAUUCAUGCUGAAACUUGAAGUAUUAAAGUGAGACAAGCAAACAUACCAGGGAGUGAUCUGAGAUUCUCAUAUUCUCCAAGGUGUGGCCAACACAAAGUCCACUGCAGCCCUGGCAGAGGAGGUUGAUGGAGUGGUUAAUGAUGACAAUAACUGACUUCAGUGAAUGAAGAAAUUUUAGCCAGUGGGUUCUUGAAACUUCUUUGAAGGCCUGUAGGAUCACUUGGCCUGCUCAUGGAGCUGUUUUGUGUAGUCAUAUUGGGGAGGUACCAAAUGCUGGCAGAGAUGUUUCAUUAGCAGGAUCUUGAUGCUGUGAGAAUCAGGUUACAGGUAGCUCUGACCAGGAGUAGCACUUACUUGCUUCUGCUCAUAAAACCUCCAAGUUUUAUAAUUGCAGCACCAAAAGGCCUGUAUCCUAU